AGUGAACGCUGGCGGUAGGCCUAACACAUGCAAGUCGAACGGCAGCACAGUAAGAGCUUGCUCUUACGGGUGGCGAGUGGCGGACGGGUGAGGAAUACAUCGGAAUCUACUUUUUCGUGGGGGAUAACGUAGGGAAACUUACGCUAAUACCGCAUACGACCUACGGGUGAAAGCAGGGGAUCUUCGGACCUUGCGCGAUUGAAUGAGCCGAUGUCGGAUUAGCUAGUUGGCGGGGUAAAGGCCCACCAAGGCGACGAUCCGUAGCUGGUCUGAGAGGAUGAUCAGCCACACUGGAACUGGGACACGAUCCAGACUCCUACGGGAGGCAGCAGUGGGGAAUAUUGGACAAUGGGCGCAAGCCUGAUCCAGCCAUACCGCGUGGGUGAGGAAGGCCUUCGGGUUGUAAAGCCCUUUUGUUGGGAAAGAAAAGCAGCAGGUUAAUACCCCGCUGUUCUGACGGUACCCAAAGAAUAAGCACCGGCUAACUUCGUG
rnacentral:rRNA from 1 species